GACGAACGCUGGCGGCGUGCCUAAUACAUGCAAGUCGAACGCAGUGGGGACGGGUGAGUAACACGUGGGUAACCUCCCAUCAGAGGGGAUAACACUUGGAAACAGGCGCUAAACCGAUAUUGAUGUAUCGACCCGCGGUGCAUUAGCUAGUUGGUGAGGUAACGGCUCACCAAGGCUACGAUGCAUAGCCGGCCUGAGAGGGUGAUCGGCCACACUGGGACUGAGACACGGCCCAGACUCCUACGGGAGGCAGCAGUAGGGAAUAUUCGGCAAUGGACGAAAGUCUGACCGAGCCACGCCGCGUGAGUGAAGAAGGUUUUCGGAUCGUAAAGCUCUGUUGUUGGAGAAGCGGUACCUAACCAGAAAGCCACGGCUAACUACGUGCCAGCAGCCGCGGUAAUUC
rnacentral:rRNA from 1 species